AAAGUCGUAACAAGGUUUCCGUAGGUGAACCUGCGGAAGGAUCAUUACCGAGUUCAUGCCCUCACGGGUAGACCUCCCACCCUUUGUAUACCUACCUUUGUUGCUUUGGCGGGACGCCUCACGGCCACCGGCUUCGGCUGGUGCGCGCCCGCCAGAGGACCCCCUAAACCCUGCUAUCAGUGUCGUCUGAGUAAAUAUCUAAUAUUUAAAACUUUCAACAACGGAUCUCUUGGCUCUG
rnacentral:misc_RNA from 1 species